CCGAACCUGUGUCACUGAAAGGGUGGAAGAUUUUGGGGUGAGAACAAAGCCACGCGUUCUCAGUAUGGAAUGGGAAUUCGUAAAAAUAAUGAUUAA